GACGAGGGGUCCUAGCGUUGUUCGGAAUCACUGGGCGUAAAGAGUUUGUAGGCGGCCCUGUAAGUCGGGUGUGAAAUCCCACGGCUCAACCGUGGAAGUGCAUUCGAAACUGCAGGGCUUGAAUAUGGAAGAGGGUAGUAGAAUUCCAGGUGUAGUGGUGAAAUACGUAGAUAUCUGGAGGAAUACCGGUGGCGAAGGCGGCUACCUGGUCCAAUAUUGACGCUGAGAAACGAAAGUGUGGGGAUCAAACAGG
rnacentral:rRNA from 1 species